UAUAUCAUUCUCUCUCACAAAUUUUUUUUACAAAUAUAUCUAUUCUCUAUCACACACAAAAUCCUAUGACCAAAUUUCUUUAAGUCCAUGGAAUCCAUCAAAUUUCUUUGAAUUUCAUUAUUCAAAAUACUCAAAUUUCAUUUCACAGUAGCUCGAUUUGCAAUGGAUUCGAAGAAAUUUGAAGGAUAUAUAUAUAUACACACACACAAAGAAAUGAAGGAUUUAUAAUUUAAGAUUUGACCCUUUUGUUGUUACUUUUUCCAAUUCUCUUUACUCAUCAUCAUCAGAUAUGAUUUGUAUUUAAAUCCUUGAAAAGGGGUUUUCAUUGUCGUUGAUAUUGUUGUUGUUGUUGUUGUUACAAUGUGAGGUUGUGAUAAUUGAGGUGUGUAGAGUUCAUGGGUAACAGAGCUAUAGGUGUAACUUGGCCGGGCAACCCGGAUUUCACAAUAACAAUAACUCAUUCAAUUCACCUACCACAUUCUCACAACAUUCCUUCAAUGGCUACCAAAGUCUUCAUUGUUUAAUACUCCAUGUAUGGACAUGUUGAGAAGCUAGCACAAGAGAUAAAGAAAGGAGUUGCAUUAGUUGAAGGCGUAGAAGCCAAACUAUGGCAGGUACUAGACAGGUGCAAAAAUGGGUGGUCCAGCAAAAGGCGAUGCACCAAUUAUCACACCAAAUGAUCUUAAUGAAGCUGACGGCUUUUUGUUCGAGUUACUAACAAGAUUUGGGACGAUGGAUGCUCAGUUCAAGGCAUCUCUUGAUGCCACUGGAGGUCUCUGGAGAACUCAACAGCUUGCUGGUAAGCCAUAGGGUCUUUUCUACUACACUGGCUCUCAAAAAGGUGGCCAGGAGACUGCAGCAUUAGUUUUUUUUCUCAAAGACUUUCACCUUUUGAUUUUGAAUUUUAUUUGAAUAUUAUAAGUGAAAAUUUUAAAUUUUUCAGAUACUAGUCAUCUAAGAAGGUGUGUGAACUAUAAAUGAUAUUUAAGGUAGCAAAAUGAUACUAAAUAGGUAGCAUCUGUAAGCAACUUGUUCUAAUUAUUUGGCCUGAAAACAAUGUAUUCAUCUUUUGUUAAUAGAUCAUCAAUGGACUAAAAUAUUUUUAAAAUUUUGUUAGGACUCAUUGGACAUAUAACACAUGGAAAAAGAAUGUUAUGAUGACAAUCUUUGAUAUUCAGGUGCCUAUGCCCUACUUUUAUCUCUGUAAACAACCUUUCAACACUAGUCAAUAGUUUUUCAACUCAAUUUUUUUUUUACAUUUGGGGUGUGUUUGUUAGGGAGAUAAUGCUUUAUUUUUUUUCCAUGUUUGGUUGGAUAAAUUUUUUUGGAAAACAUUGUUUAGAAAAAUAAGUUCCUUACUGAAAAUAACUUCCACUAUGGAACUAUGAUAUUGUUUUAUGCCAUCUCAUUUUCAAACUACUCGAUUCAAAUGUAAUUUUACUUCUUAUUAAGAGAAUUCAUUACAUAAGGUAUUGUAAUCUUUCAGAUUUUCACUAGAAUGAAAGCUUAUUUCCUUAUCUAAAUACUUAUCAGUAACGUAAAGAGUGUGAUAGUUCAUUAGUUUUUAACUGAAAGUGACUAAUAUUUUUUUGCCUACUUUUCUUAUGCUUUAGUAUAUUUUGGCUUGUUCCAAGUACAGUAAAAAGGACUGACAAAUGAAUCGGUGAGGAAUAUGUUAACAUUAAGUAAAAAGAAGUCCCAUGGCUAGAGGCAUUGUGAAAAAUUACUUUGACACCAGACUUAGACUUAGCACUGAUGAGGAUUGUGCUAGUAACCUUACAGUAUUGUGAUAUAUCUAGCACAUUUGGUAUUAAGAGGAGGAAGGAAGGAGAUGUAUUUUCAUGAGGAAAGUGGAGGAAAAUGUAUAUGUAAGUUAGCAUUAUUAGAGAGAUUCCUUGUUAGGUCUGCAAAUAUUUUAAUUUUCACACCUUAAACUACCUUGCUCUAGCAUAAUUAAGUACAUAGAUGGUUGUAUUCAAUUAAUAUUUGAGAAAAAUUAAUUUAAUACUUACCUGAUUUUGACCUUUCUAUCUAUUCUUGGUGACUUCACACUUCUUGAAUUCAUAUAGCCUAUCCUAACUUGUUUCAAAUUGAGGAGUAGCUGUUGUUGUUGAAUAUUUAUCUAACUAUCUUGAGGAGUAGUAGUACUAUCUUGAGGAGUUUCUAGUUGACUGGUGAUACUAGAUAAUAUAAUGUACCUGUUGUUUCUAGUUUUCUUCAUGUGGUUAAUCCCUUUUUGCUUAUUUCUUCAUACGUCAUAGGUGUUAACCUAUAUCUAUCUUAGGUGGGUAAUAGUUUUCUUCAUGUUGUUCCUUCCUGACAAUAGUAGUUCAUCAUGUCUUAAAACACUCAUUGUUGAUGUUUAGCUUAUCAUGGAUAGAUGCUGACCUAACUGAUACUGCUGAAAUUGAUGGUGACACUUUUUGGUUCAAGUUUGCAUAUUUACUUUCAUUUCUGAUUUUUAGUUUAAUUUGAGAUUAAUACACUUGAAUUAAAAGCUUUUCUUCUCAAAUGAAAUGAUCUCUAUGCAAGCUCUUAAAGAACAUUAGUAUCUCAAAGCAUCUGUGGAAUACAAGCAUUUUUAAACUCAUUCAACCUGAUCUACAAUAUGUGAAAUUUUGGAAACACGUGAAGCUAGUAAUGUGUUAGUAAAAGAUUCAAAAUUCAUAGAAGUUCUUUGGAGGAGAAUUAUCAAUUUGUUUCUAUGGGGGAUCAAUCCAUCCCCUCUCCUUUUCCCAGCAAAAAUUGAUCUCUGUGUUGACUUUCUCUGUCUGAACUUUCUUUGCAUGUCACAAGAACCCUAAUUCCUUCCAUAUGAAUCUUUGUAUUAAAUUGUUAAGGUAAAAUCAACACAACUAAGGAAAAGAACACAAUCAAUUCUUUUAAGGGAGUUCUCCAGAUAACAAAUUGGGAAGAUGUUGCACCGAAGAGUAUAUUCAUACUGAACUAGCCUUCCAGGUUUGCAAGGAUAAACUUUGUGCAUCUUGUAUGGUCUCUUAAAGCUAAAUUCUAAACUUUGAACAUCAAUGAAACAAAAUGGUUGAAAGGCAAAGAUACAGUCUGGGAAAACUAUAGAAUUUGAUUGAACUUCCUAAGUUUGCCAACAGUGGGAGGUCUGAUAAAAUUUAAACUGAAUUUCUGAAAGGUUGUUUAGAAAAGGAGCCCUUCUCAUUUGUUUGAAUAAUAAAUAUUUGUACAUCAAUGAUGAUUUUGUGUUGUUUAUGAACUUGGUGAGGAUGUCCAUUCUGGUGUAGUUAACUAUCUGACUACGCCUCUAUGAUUUUUCUUGAUGAUAUGUGUUACUAUUUUACUAUAUUUUUGCAUGUUUUGAUCCCGCAGAUAUUUCUGCUGCUCUUCUUGUUGGAAGUCUUCAAGUUUUCACAUCUCUUUGAACUCGUUCGGAUAAGAGUCUCACUUUUCAACUCUUAGGUUCAUGAAAACGUAUUUUAUAUUUCAAAUUCACAAGAAAUUUAAAUCCUAAACUUUUAACUUUAUUGAAUAAAUUAAAGAAACUUUGGAUUCACAUACUUCCUCAUUCCAGAUUGAAAAGAUAUUUGAAUAUUUCUCGAGCAUAAUAUUUUUUCUAAAUGUUUGUUAUAGAGGUGCUAUACAAGGCUACGCAUGUGAAGCGUGCCCAUUAACAAAGCAAAGGCCACACUUGAAAGUGUAGCUUUAUUAGAUAAAA